rnacentral:tRNA from 3 species
UAGAUUAAAGUCCGCCGGUUUGGACAGCUAGCUGUUAAUUAGUUUUUGUGGGAUCGAGGCCCGCUAGUCUAG